rnacentral:rRNA from 1 species
UACGAAGGGUGCUAGCGUUGUUCGGAAUCACUGGGCGUAAAGGGCGCGUAGGCGGCUUUUCAAGUCAGAGGUGAAAGCCCGGGGCUCAACCCCGGAAUUGCCUUUGAAACUGUAAAGCUUGAGUGUCGGAGGGGAUAGCGGAAUUGCUAAUGUAGAGGUGAAAUUCGUAGAUAUUAGCAGGAACACCGGUGGCGAAGGCGGCUAUCUGGACGACAACUGACGCUGAGGCGCGAAGGCUAGGGGAGCAAACGGG